GUUGAGUUUGAAAGGCUUCUGGGUGUAUCCGAAGCAAAGUUUGCAAUAUCACAGUUAUCCAAGGUAGAUAGAGGUGACGAUACUGAUACUGUGAAGUUCUCUGAAUUGCUUCAUUGUCAUCAUUCUAAAGUGCUGGAGUACCAUCGGAUGUUGCAAAUGUGUGCAUAGGCGAUAUCAAUGAUCAUUCAAGCCACAGGAGCAAGUUCACUUUUACUAAACACGGGAGCUCUGUACCUAUCUGUUGGUGGCAUGCUAAUGUCUGUAAUUUCCUUGUUGGGUUACUGUUCUUGCGUUUACUGGAGAAACUUGGUCCACAACUGCUUUACUCAAUGUUUGCUACAUUCUGCAUGAUGGCAGUAAUCUUUGUAAAAAGAAAUGUGGUGGAAACCAAAGGGAAAUCACUUCAAGAAAUUGAGAUAGCACUUCUUCCCCAAGACUAGAGCUUCUUACAAAAACCCAUUCACUGCAGUAAUUUUGCAUAAUUUGGGGGCUAUCAUAGUGUCGGCUAUGAGCAUAUUAUGAACAAAUGUUAACAAUGAUUGUUCAAUCCAUUUCCGAAAAAUGCAGCAAUUUCAUAAGUUUUAAGA